GUUGAAACACCGGUUCUCAUCCGAUCACCGAAGUUAAGCAACGUUGAGCCUGGUCAGUACCUAGACAGGUAACUGCUGGUGAAUACCAGGUGCUGUAAU